CGCGCGCGUCCCGUCAGGGCCGGGCGGCGGGAGAGGCGCGGGGGCGGCGUUGCGUUUGUCAGGCGGUCUUUAUUAAAGGGCGCCCGCGUGCUCGGCCCUCAGGAGGACUUGCAGUACUUGGCCGUGUCCAGCCUGUAGUGGCCCGGGUCGUAGGGCGCCUUAGCGAAGCACAUGGCGGCCGCGCGGUCGCAGUUGCAGAUGAACAUCUCGCACUCGUCGUUGGUGCCUGAGGGAGGGAGCGGGGACGGUCAGAGCCUUCGCCUGCCUCCCUUCAACCCCCCUGUGCCGCCGCCGCCGCCAUGUCGGGCGUGAGGUGCGCUCCCUGCGCGCCCUCCGGCCCCCGAGCUCCCCUCAGGAGCCAUAAAAGCUUGGCCGUUACAUUACGGAUGUCUGCACAGCGCUCCCCAGCCAGCCCGCUGCCCCCACGGACUUCUGUGGGACCACAGGGACUCAUCCCCCUGAGGAGGGGACAGGUCCCCGUGCUCAGCCCACGUAUCCUCCAGCACCACGUCGCGCUGAAGCCUUCUGGGCCACCUCGGAGGCAUCUACAGCAGCGCUGAGUGCGGUGCCUGCAGCCAGCCCACCCGGCACGGCCUUCUGCGGCGCCUCCGUGCCAUGAAAGGAUUCAAAGUCACGCAGCCCCUAUCCUAACUGCAGCUGAAGUGCUGAGCAAAGCAGAGUGACACGGAGGAGGACGUACUGCUACACGUAAUCUCCUUGCUAGAGCAGCUGAACUUGUAUGUCUUUGUGUAGGGGUUGUCCACUAAGGUGGUGCACGAUGACAGUUUUUCAGCCUGAGAGUAGCAGUUAUCAUGUGUUUGACAGCACCUGGAAAACAAGGAGGAAGAGGUCAGAAAACACCAGAAAUGCAAACUCAGCUGACCUAUACGACAUGUAAAUAUGCUAGUAUUUACAAAUAUGCUUUGACAAGGCGCUGAACAAAAAAAAAACCCUCAAGAUACCCAGUGAUAAGAGGGAGAGGACACAAAGGACCUCAAAGGGACACAAAAUCACAGAAUAUCCUGGGUUGGAAGGGACCCACAAGGAUCAUUGAGUUCAGCUCCUCCUCUGCCAGCUAAUGUUCCAAGUACACGUGUGGUUACUGCAGCCUGGCAGCUGACGAGCUAACAGCUGGCACAAUCCACUGCACCUUGGCUAUCAGUCUAAUGUGAUCUCCAAACUGGCAAGCUACUUCUUAGCAUUUUGCAGCUCAGCCCUAAGAGGUCAAUGGUCAAGCACUGGGUAGUGGGCUCACAACUGCUGUCUGGGCUGCCAGGACAGCACUGCUGAAGAAAAAAAAAGAAAAAAGAAAAAAGUGUGGGAAUGAAUGCAACAUAGCUGCCACAGAAGAGAAAGCAGAAUGCAUUGCUUGGGUUAUAUUUUACCCUAGUAAUAAGACCUUCAGGUGUGAUACUACACAACCUUUUUUCCUUGAACCAGUCUUUGGGAGAACGCUUUAUCCAUAGCAGCCAGAGAGUUUUGUGAGCAUUUUUUUACAUGCAGGGCCAGCUAAGGAGACGCAGGCAUGCAGAAAUGAGAAAGCGCAAGCUAGGAAACAUGUUUGUAAAAGCAGAGUUGUACAAACUUGUCAAGUUCAUCCACUGGUGUCCCACUGCCUCCCAAGCCACAAUAGCAGCCGUAGCCAUCAAACUCAAGCAGAGGGUGACUGCCUGGGAUGGUGCAUUGGAUCAUGCUGCGCAGCUGCCACACUGCACGAGGUGAGACAUCGGCACUGGCAGCACCCACUGAGGAGAAACACAACGGUUAGAGUUAGGCAUGGUAUUACCAGUCACAGGCACGCUGAGAGGGGCGAGUGCCACCUACGCACCUGACAGCAGGAAAAGCAGGGCAAGGGACUUCAUUGUUGCAGGUCUUGACAAUGAGAUUGGUCCUAAAGAAAAUGCAGCUCUUUAUACUACAAGCUCACCUUGAAAUAGAAAUGAGGUCAACAAGCCAGUAUUUAUGUUACUGAAUGCAGAUUUCUUCUAUCAGGGGCUGUAGACAGCAGCUUGUGACACGACCAGCUGAAGGCCAGUGGAGUUCGAACUCUGGAAGCCAAGAGGGCAAAUAUUUGCUUCCUAUGAUUUUUGCGAUUAAAUUAUUUUAAUGGUCGUAUUAGAAGACUGCCUGAAAGAUCUGGACAUUUUUAAGGGCUCUCUACUAAAAAAUAUAGCAACGUGGUAGUUACGCUGGAGAAUACUGGCACUAACAGCCAGUUACUAAUACUUGUAUACUCUUUUUAUGGUAUCCCACUUAUCAUUCUUCCUAUAUCUCUGCAUUGAUUCACCUGGCCUAAUUCAGGGAACGAGAUACAAGUUGUUCACUUAUCCCCAGUGAUCCUUGGCAUGAGCAGAAAAAAAUAAAAUAAAUAAAUAAACUAGUUUUAACUUUGAAGCCAUAUAGGAGAAAGAAGUACUACUAGGCAAAAACCAGGAGCCAAGCAAUGUGGAAAUCCUCUGAAAUUUCUCGGGAGAAGCAGCAUAACAGCCACGACAAAGGAAAGUGUGAACACAAGGAGAUGGUAACACAUUGGUGGUAGGAUGACUGUGGGAAAUAUUAACUGAAAUAUUCAGCAGGAUUUUCCCUGAGGCUUCAGAGAUGCAGAGGACCAAGAAGGAUUGUUGGAGUGCAGGGACAGACACGGCAUUAUCCAGUCAAGGUCUGUGUGUUACCACAUCACCAGGUACACGGCAAACCUAGUGGAGCUAGGUGAAACUGGAGAAGCCUCCAGGCAAUCGUAUUUUGAUGGCCUAUGCUGCCAUCAGGCUCCUGAAAUCGCCAUCAUGUUUUGUGUGUUUAGACUUACCAUCUUCAAAGCAGCUACAUUUGCAGCCCUCUGGAAAAGAAGAGCGUGCUGGCUGUGCAGUUUCUUCCCUUUAACUAUCCAUUUUGCUUUCCAUCCAUCAAAAUCUGCCUGAUAAAUGCAGGUCUUCCUUUUAAUACAAUGCCUGUCCAGAAGAAACUAUGUUUUCUUCCUUUGAGAUAGAACCUCUGUUCUUCAAGUUUAGCAAAAUUAAUUUUUAUACUAGAUAGUCUGUAGAUUUAACUCAUAUACUUAUAUGAGGAUAAAAUAGUUUCCCUCCAGGUUGUGUGCCUUUGGCCAGCCUUACUCCAGUAAUUGCUGAAUCCAUUUCACACCCACCGCCAGGUGAAUGGUAACAUUGCAAAUGGAAAUAACUAGUGAUUAGCUGGUGAUAGCCAGCUGAUUUCAGAUGCAAGCAGGUGGCACAAUACACAUCCCUCUGGCAAAGCCAACGUUACCUGGCUUAAACAAGGACUUGUGGCUUACAUGACUUCAGAGGAGUUAUGCCAGAAACGACCUGUGCUUAGAAGUUUCAAGGUACACAGCGUACCAUAGCUCAGGCAGCAGUUUCUACAUCAGCAAAGCAGAGCCCAUUUAGGCCCUUUGGUUCUCUACACCAAGGCACGAGGUGAGUUGGAUCCAAAAAAGGGUAAGAAAGUUUUUUGCAGUCAGCCGGGAGUCCAAAAUACUGCACUCGUAUUCAGACCCCGGAGGCUCUAAUGCUGCCAAGGCUACAGGUUUGGCAUUUUUACACACUCGAGAUAUUAAUUGUAGACUAUUCCCUUGAUAGUAAGAGUCUGCAUUUAUUUCUAAAGCAUGAAUCAAGCCUUCAGUUUUAAGAGUAAGGAAAGAGAAAACAGCCUAAAAUCCAGAGUGCUUAUUCAGGAAACGUAGGGUUCAGCACCCUUCAGUAGGAUCAAAUGCACGUUUCUGUAGGCGAUGGUGAGGACAUCUUCCCCUCCAGAGUGGCUGAAACUACAUCAGGGUGCCCACAGCACCCAGGGUGCUGACACAACCAUAGGGCAUCUAGCUAAAGCUAGGUUUGCUGCUGAGCGACCAGAACCAUUUCGACUUUUUUGGUUGCUCACAAGCUCUCUGAUGCCCCAAGAUUCCCCUCUCACAGGUUAGCUAAGGCCAAACAGGUGCUGGGUUAUAGACUCAAGAUUCCAGUGUCCUAAUAGUGAGAACAUCAAACAAACAUUAAAGACUGAUGUAAAAAAAGUCGGUGCCCCCAUUUAUGUAGAAAAAAGGAUUUAAUAUUUUACCCACAGAUCAAUCUGCUGACUUUCCCUUCAAUAUCCAUUUAAGUGAUAUUCUCAUUCUCCUUUGGCUACCUUUCCUUUUUUAAUGUUUUAUUUCUCUUUUCUUUUACCAAUGAACCUUAGGUUCCUUCUGUGGUUCCUUCCUCCCCAUUUCUCACUCUCCUUUAUUAUUGAUGUUGCCAAGAAAACCUCUAUUACACUGGCCUUUUAAGUCACUAAAACGCUGUCAUAUUUUGGAUUUCAUAGUCUGAUUUCAACAAAAGGACCACCCAGAGUGGGAAAGUGAGCAUGUGAGCAGCACAAGAGUGCGUUAUGAGAAAACUCCCAGAAGGGUACAGAUUUUUCCACCAAAGCUAUUUUUGGCUUCCCCAACCUGUACAAUAUACAAAGCUGCCGGUGCUCAGUAUGAUUUUGAGGACACCUCAAUUUACAACUCAUUCCUAAAUUCACAGGCUUGAGCCUUAUAUUAUUUCUGAGAAUUCUCUAUGAUUAAGACCUGCUAGAACAGGUCUGUUACACUGCUGGAAUUUACUGUUCUCUUGUAGUGUUAUCUACUAAGGAAUUUUCUUCCUAUCUCUUCAUUUUAUUUUCUUAGAUCUAGCCUCCUUGGUUCACCAUAGUCAAUGAAUCCAAAGAAUAUCUGAGCCAACCUUCUAAGCACCCCAGUGUCUCCUCCCUUCUCGAGCCUAUAAAUAUCUGUACAAACCCUCUGUAAUGUAAAGAGGCACAAUCUCUGCUAAACCCGGAUCCACCUCACAUUAUAAACUGGGCCGCUGCCAAAGGCCGGGAGCAGAACACACAGUCAGAGCCCUGGGGCUUUUAUCCUAAUGGCAGGAUGCGCCUCCUGCCAGCUCCGAGUUCACCUGCACUCUCCUCCAUUGGAAAGUCUCCCACGCCCCAAUAACGAGAGAGGACAGUUUUCAAAUAAUUUAUUAGGAAUUUAAAACUGAAAUCUGGAAAAAGGGUUACAGGUGUGGAGAGAACAAACAUUGGAGUGUAAUAACUUACUGGCUUAAAAACACAGCUUUAUUAUUUUUUUAAAAAAAUGCCCACCCUGAAACCGGAGCCCCAGCCUCCAGGCAGUGGCAGCACUGGCCAGAGAGUGAAUCGCAGCCCAGCAGCAGCACGGCUGGCCUGGGAUGUCUGGAGGGGGCACGGAAGCAGUUCAGCGCAUAUACCAAGAGGGAGGAAAGCGCUGUCCGCAGACCCAAAUUUGAAGUAUAUAGAAUAAAAAUAAACCCAAUAAAAUGCAGCUCUUCUUUACUUAGGAAAUAUUUAAAAAAACAGACAUACAGACUCUUGUCUCAGUAACAAAAAUUAUUGCUUUGUGUUUUCAGUACUGAUCUGUUAAGUACCCUCUUACCUAAACAGAACUCUCCAAACAUAUCGCCCAGGUCAGGACAAGCUCCGGCACACGGGGAGGGGAGGGAUGGAAGAGAAGAGCCCUGUGGGCACGGCGGCCCUCCCGGUCCUUUCCUCAAAGCCCCUCUCCCUUACAAGGGCUCAGUUUGGGGGAAGAGAGGGAAUGAUUUUUAAAACUUAAGAUGAAGCUGUUAUUUCCCUGGGAAAAGAGUUUGGCUGCAUCUUAAUAAAAGGCUUAAUCACCCCCCUUAACAAGGUCUUUGGUUCACUGAAAUCCAGACCCAAACCUACCCCGUAUGCUCCUGCGGGAGGCUUCCCCUGGCACGGCGCUCCUCAGCAGGGGCCUGGUGCCAGGGGAAGCCCCGGCAGGUUCUGGAGAAGGGACCACACCACCUCCGCACGGGACAACGGACAAAUUCCCACAGUCUUCAGAACACAGAGUAAAGCAAAUGGGAAGCUGCGAUUCUAUAAUUCAUAUAAUCCCUGAGAAGCCCUUAACCCGCCCCCAAAUCACCACCCUAAUGCUUUUCUCCCCGUUAACGCCUCCCCAACCCAGCGCCCUGCCCUUCAGAGAACGACCACCCACAUCUCCCCCCGGCCCUGGCUGCCUCCCCUUUCCGAUACCCUCGCCUCCGGAGGAGGAUCCCUUUCCCAGGAAAUCUUGACGCAAGCGAUAAGUGUUUGGAGAGUGGAUUCCUUUCAAAGUAACCAAGACAAACAGUGGCGGCAAAGCCCUUUACCUAAAGCCAAACCAGACGCUGGCACUGCGGAGCCCAGUGAUGGAGUCUGUACAUCGAGCGAUUGGAAGCAGCUUUAACCCGCUCAGCAAAACAGCCGAUGGCCGGUACGUUUCACCCCCGCCCCCACCCCCCCUUUCAUCUCAUCAGAGGUCUUAAAAUCUUACAGUAAAAGGUGUACAAAAAAAGAACGGAGUCCUGUCAGGAUUCUGCUGGAGAGUAUUGCUCACACUGCGGCACCAAGUCCAGGACCUGGAGCUGCUCCUCGGAGCCAGGCUGCACGUGGCAGCCAGGUUCAGCUCGCGAUAUUUACAUAUUAUACAGAAGGAAAAAGAAAAUCCCACGUAAAACUAAACCUAGGAAAACAAAAAAAAAAAUCUUUCAGCUGUAAGAUAGUGUUUUUCACUUAGCAAAAUAUACAUUUGUUUUGUUCCAUAGCGAUGUCCAACGUUUUCGGAUCCUUGGAGUUUCACACUUUUCAAAGCCUCACAUUUACAAAACAGAAACAAUUAAAAACAGUUUCUUUAAAAAAAAUAGAAA